CCCACACUGGCACUGCUCCCAAAUCGUUGCCCCCAAGGUGUAUGACCAACACGUCCAGGGCUUCCAGAAGACUAGAAAGCUAGACUAUUUCAGGAAGCAGCUGAACCCAUCGCAUGCCCCGAGUCCCAAACCAUCUGACAUCCGCCAACUCCGUCGAAAGGCCUAGUUGAGUCCCACCAGGUCGAACCCACGCACAGAGAUGGGUCCAAUAAACAUAGGAAUGUCCAACUAACCAGACCC